UUAAUAGUGUACCAUUUAUUCACCAUAAUCUGGUAUGUACCUACGUUCAAUCGAAAAAUUAAAACAUAAUAAAGUCUAUGUUGUACAAUUUUUUUAUAUAUUCUUGAAGAAGAAGCAUUUAUUAU